CGGUUUAACAUUAAACCAAGCUUGGCAGAACGCGCAGUUCGUCAUCCAGCGGCUGAAGGUUUCUCUGGCAGUGCAAUUAACAUCCAGAGAGAGAAACUUUCUUCUAUGUCAAACCUAGGGCUCCCAGAAAUCAGAAGCAAAACUGGAGUUCACUUCAAAGAAAUUCAGGUGAAACAAGCGGACAGAUGAACUUUUACAGUGGAUUUAUAAGCAUGGCAGCUCCAAGCACCAAGAUAAAAAGGUCUCUAACUGAACACUGGAAAAAACAAGACUUAGAAACCACAGCUUUGAAAAUAUUCAAGAUCAACUUUAUAAUUCUGUCUGUCCACUGGGAGAGAAAUGCCUGACUGGUUUUAGUGUCUGCUAAAUCAGAGUAUUUUUUCUAGUAAAUGCCAAAACAAAAUACAAACUAGAAAUCUAGUAUUUGUAGAAUUGUGACAAGCUAAAACAUCACAAAACAAAGCAGCAUCUAAAAGUUUCCCAUUGUUGGAUGGCUUCAGUGGCUUGCUGUGAUAGUUGCUUUUACAGCUCAGCCUCCUAGGCUUGAUUACUUUGAAUUGUUUUUAAUAUUUCAAGUUCUUUAUCACUGAAAUAUUCCUAUUUUACAGAUUGUAGUGGUGCAAGAUGAGUAAUGACGAUUUGUGGUCAACCUUGUUGAAUAUUGUAACGUGAUGAGUUUAACUAAAUAAAUUGAGUUGCAUUUUGUGUC